UACGUAGGGUGCAAGCGUUUGUCCGGAAUUAUUGGGCGUAAAGAGCUCGUAGGCGGUUUGUCGCGUCUGCUGUGAAAAACCCGAGGCUCAACCUCGGGCCUGCAGUGGGUACGGGCAGACUAGAGUGCGGUAGGGGAGAUUGGAAUUCCUGGUGUAGCGGUGGAAUGCGCAGAUAAUCAGGAGGAACACCCAUAGCGAAGGCAGCUUGCUGGGACGUACUGACGCUAAGGCGCGAAAGCGUGGGGAGCGAACAGGA
rnacentral:rRNA from 1 species